rnacentral:misc_RNA from 1 species
CACCUCUCCAGCUCCCGCUGGGUGUUGGGCGUCUUCGCGGUCGCGCUCGUCGCGCCGCGCGCCCCAAUGUCACUCGGCCGCGCCGGCCGUCUCCCCAGCGUUGUGGCUUUCACGUCUCGCUUCGGAGUCCGCCCGGUCGCGUCGCCGUCGACCCCCCAUAUUCUUUCA